UACAGAGGUCUCAAGCGUUGUUCGGAUUCAUUGGGCGUAAAGGGUGCGUAGGCGGCGCGGUAAGUCGGGUGUGAAAAUCUUGGAGCUUAACUCCGAAACUGCAUUCGAUACUGCCGUGCUUGAGGACUGGAGAGGAGAUCGGAAUUCACGGUGUAGCAGUGAAAUGCGUAGAUAUCGUGAGGAAGACCAGUGGCGAAGGCGGAUCUCUGGACAGCUCCUGACGCUGAGGCGACGAAGGCUAGGGGAGCAAACGGG
rnacentral:rRNA from 1 species